CACCGCCCGUCACAUCACGAAAGUCAGUUGCUCUUGAAGUCGCUGCGCUAACCGCAAGGGGGUAGGCGCCUACGGAGUGGCUGGUGAUUGGGGUG
rnacentral:rRNA from 1 species